rnacentral:rRNA from 1 species
UACGUAGGGUCCGAGCGUUGUCCGGAAUUACUGGGCGUAAAGAGCUCGUAGGUGGUUUGUCGCGUUGUUCGUGAAAACUCACAGCUUAACUGUGGGCGUGCGGGCGAUACGGGCAGACUUGAGUACUGCAGGGGGAGACUGGAAUUCCUGGUGUAGCGGUGGAAUGCGCAGAUAUCAGGAGGAACACCGGUGGCGAAGGCGGGUCUCUGGGCAGUAACUGACGCUGAGGAGCGAAAGCGUGGGGAGCGAAC